rnacentral:lncRNA from 10 species
AUUUAUAAGACUAUUCUUUGCCCAUUGUGUCUUCUUGGUGUCCUUGUGAAAAAUUAAUUGCCCAUAUGUGUUUGAAUCUAUUUCUAGGCUUUCUAUUCUGUUCCACUAAUCAGUAUGUUUGUUUAUAUGCACAGCCGAUAUACAUGCUCAAAUGUCCGUGUUCAUUUCCUAUUGCCCUCAAGAGUGAUAGAUGCAGGAAGCAGAUAAGGAAGGGUCCCUGAAGAAUCUCCGACCCGCCCCACAAGUGUUUAUGUUUCAUGUUUUUGUGCAGACUAAUUUCUACCUUCAGCAAAAUGUCUACCAAAGUCAAGUAAUAGGGCCUGAUCUGAAGCCGCAAUGAGUCUUCAGAUGUCAAAUAUGCCCUGAAUGCUGUGAAUGCAGAAGAUGAAAUAAUUAAUAUCAACUGGGAGAGCCAAGGAGCAAUGGGGAGGUUAACAACUUUUAAUAUUCAAUGUCAAAUAUCAGAAGCUAUGAAGCAAAUUAAUAUAGUCAUGUACCACAUACCAAUGUUUCAGUUAAUGAUGGACAGCAUAUAUCACAGUGAACCGUUGUGAAAAUAUUUUGUCAUAUAAAUAACAUGAAAAUUCUAAACAAGACAGUGAUGCUAACGAUUAAUUGUCAGAGUCUUUUUAAGAUAAGAGUAUCAGUUUGGGAAUAUAAAGAAGUGUGUUGUUGUCAUAAAAGUGGUGACUAAGAAAGUAAAUUCCGUUACUGAAGAAUGCCCACCAAGAAUAAAGAAUUGGAUGCAAAGCACCUCCAGUGAAAUGCAGAAAUAAAAAGAUAAUUAAGUGUUCAUGAUCACUUUCCUUUGGAAUCAUAGAACUAUGCAACCUUAUUUUUCAACUACAGUGGAUGAAUGACAAACUGAAAUAAAAACCAAUGAUUUAUAUUAAGCCAGGUGGGUAUUUUGUGAUCCUAGUCAUGUAGGAAAACAUUGAUAAACAGUGAAAAUGUGACUUGACCCAUUUUUUUCUAUUAUGUUUGUCCAUAACUUGAUAGUAUGAUCCUUUCCUUUUAUUAUGUUUUAUGUAAGUAUAGAAGAACACCACAAAGCAUAAGCCGGAAUUUGCAUAUAUGACAGAGAUGUAAAGACAUUGGGAAACCUGGCAACUAAAGUUUAAAUAGUUAAAAGUGUAACAUAUAUAACAUUAUU